rnacentral:rRNA from 1 species
GACGAACGCUGGCGGCGUGCCUAAUACAUGCAAGUUGAGCGCUGAAGGUUGGUACUUGUACCAACUGGAUGAGCAGCGAACGGGUGAGUAACGCGUGGGGAAUCUGCCUUUGAGCGGGGGACAACAUUUGGAAACGAAUGCUAAUACCGCAUAAAAACUUUAAACACAAGUUUUAAGUUUGAAAGAUGCAAUUGCAUCACUCAAAGAUGAUCCCGCGUUGUAUUAGCUAGUUGGUGAGGUAAAGGCUCACCAAGGCGAUGAUACAUAGCCGACCUGAGAGGGUGAUCGGCCACAUUGGGACUGAGACACGGCCCAAACUCCUACGGGAGGCAGCAGUAGGGAAUCUUCGGCAAUGGACGAAAGUCUGACCGAGCAACGCCGCGUGAGUGAAGAAGGGUUUCGGAUCGGAAAACUCUGUUGGUAGAGAAGAACGUUGGUGAGAGUGGAAAGCUCAUCAAGUGACGGUAACUACCCAGAAAGGGACGGCUAACUACGUG